rnacentral:rRNA from 1 species
AAAACGGAGAGUUUGAUCCUGGCUCAGGAUGAACGCUGGCGGUAUGCUUAACACAUGCAAGUCGAACGGUGUCUUCGGACAUAGUGGCGGACGGGUGAGUAACGCGUGAGAAUCUGGCUUCAGGUCUGGGACAACCACUGGAAACGGUGGCUAAUACCGGAUGUGCCGAAAGGUGAAAGGCUUGCUGCCUGAGGAUGAGCUCGCGUCUGAUUAGCUAGUUGGAAGUGUAAUGGACUCCCAAGGCGACGAUCAGUAGCUGGUCUGAGAGGACGAUCAGCCACACUGGGACUGAGACACGGCCCAGACUCCUACGGGAGGCAGCAGUGGGGAAUUUUCCGCAAUGGGCGAAAGCCUGACGGAGCAAUACCGCGUGAGGGAGGAAGGCUCUUGGGUCGUAAACCUCUUUUCUCAGGGAAGAACACAAUGACGGUACCUGAGGAAUAAGCAUCGGCUAACUCCGUGCCAGCAGCCGCGGUAAUACGGAGGAUGCAAGCGUUAUCCGGAAUGAUUGGGCGUAAAGCGUCCGCAGGUGGCAAUGUAAGUCUGCUGUUAAAGAGUCUAGCUCAACUAGAUAAGAGCAGUGGAAACUACAUAGCUAGAGUACGUUCGGGGCAGAGGGAAUUCCUGGUGUAGCGGUGAAAUGCGUAGAGAUCAGGAAGAACACCAGUGGCGAAGGCGCUCUGCUAGGCCGUAACUGACACUGAGGGACGAAAGCUAGGGGAGCGAAUGGGAUUAGAUACCCCAGUAGUCCUAGCCGUAAACGAUGGAUACUAGGCGUGGCUUGUAUCGACCCGAGCCGUGCCGUAGCUAACGCGUUAAGUAUCCCGCCUGGGGAGUACGCUUAAGCAACGGUGAAACUCAAAGGAAUUGACGGGGGCCCGCACAAGCGGUGGAGUAUGUGGUUUAAUUCGAUGCAACGCGAAGAACCUUACCAAGGCUUGACAUGUCGCGAAUCUUCUUGAAAGAGAAGAGUGCCUUCGGGAGCGCGAACACAGGUGGUGCAUGGCUGUCGUCGAGCUCGUGUCGUGAGAUGUUGGGUUAAGUCCCGCAACGAGCGCAACCCUCGUUUUUAGUUGCCAUCAUUAAGUUGGGCACUCUAGAGAGACUGCCGGUGACAAACCGGAGGAAGGUGGGGAUGACGUCAAGUCAGCAUGCCCCUUACGCCUUGGGCUACACACGUACUACAAUGCUCCGGACAGAGGGCAGCAAGCAUGCGAAUGCAAGCAAAUCCCGUAAACCGGAGCUCAGUUCAGAUCGCAGGCUGCAACUCGCCUGCGUGAAGGAGGAAUCGCUAGUAAUUGCAGGUCAGCAUACUGCAGUGAAUUCGUUCCCGGGCCUUGUACACACCGCCCGUCACACCAUGGAAGCUGGUAGUGCCCGAAGUCAUUACUCCAACCAUUCGUGGAGGAGGAUGCCUAAGGCAGGACUGGUGACUGGGGUGAAGUCGUAACAAGGUAGCCGUACCGGAAGGUGUGGCUGGAUCACCUCCUUU